rnacentral:rRNA from 1 species
UGUAAUUGGAAUGAUGGGAAUUUAAACCCCUUCCAGAGUAUCAAUUGGAGGGCAAGUCUGGUGCCAGCAGCCGCGGUAAUUCCAGCUCCAAUAGCGUAUAUUAAACUUGUUGCAGUUAAAAAGCUCGUAGUUGAAUUUCUGCUGCAUCGUGGUUCUUCCCUAUGUCGAGUGAUCUUCGUUGUGGCUUAGUUGGGGCAUGUUUUCAUGACUCGACGUUUACUUUGAGAAAAUUAGAGUGCUUCAAGCAGGCUUUUGCCUUGAAUACUUUAGCAUGGAAUAAUGGAGUAGGACUUUGGUUCUAUUUUGUUGGUUUUAGGAGCCGGAGUAAUGGUUAAUAGGAACAGUUGGGGGCAUUCGUAUUUGACUGUCAGAGGUGAAAUUCUUAGAUUUGUCAAAGACGAACUACUGCGAAAGCAUUUGCCAAGGAUGUUUCCAUUAAUC